CCUACGGGAGGCUGCAGUGAGGAAUAUUGGUCAAUGGGCGAGAGCCUGAACCAGCCAAGUCGCGUGCAGGAUGACUGCCCUACGGGUUGUAAACUUCUUUUGUACGGGGAUAAAGAGAGACACGUGUGCCUUUUUGUAAGUACUUUAUGAAUAAGGAUCGGCUAACUCCGUGCCAGCAGCCGCGGUAAUACGGAGGAUCCGAGCGUUAUCCGGAUUUAUUGGGUUUAAGGGGAGCGUAGAUGGUUUGGUAAGUCAGUGGUGAAAGUUUGCGGCUCAACCGUAAAAGUGCAAUUGAUACUGGCAGUCGUGAGAACAGUUGAGGUAGGCGGAAUUCGUGGUGUAGCGGUGAAAUGCUUAGAGAUCACGAAGAACACCGAUUGCGAAGGCAGCUUACCAAACUGCCACUGACAUUGAGGCUCGAAAGCGUGGGUAGCAAACAGGAUUAGAUACCCUGGUAGUC
rnacentral:rRNA from 1 species